UACAGAGGUCUCAAGCGUUGUUCGGAUUCAUUGGGCGUAAAGGGUGUGUAGGUGGCGCCGUAAGUCGGGUGUGAAAUUUCGGAGCUUAACUCCGAAACUGCAUUCGAUACUGCGGUGCUUGAGGACUGGAGAGGAGACUGGAAUUCCAAGUGUAGCGGUGAAAUGCGUAGAGAUUUGGAGGAACACCAGUGGCGAAGGCGACUUUCUGGUCUGUAACUGACACUGAGGCGCGAAAGCCAGGGGAGCAAACGGG
rnacentral:rRNA from 1 species